rnacentral:rRNA from 1 species
GUGGGGAAUAUUGGACAAUGGGCGAAAGCCUGAUCCAGCAAUGCCGCGUGAGUGAUGAAGGCCCUAGGGUUGUAAAGCUCUUUUACCCGGGAUGAUAAUGACAGUACCGGGGGAAUAAGCUCCGGCUAACUUCGUGCCAGCAGCCGCGGUAAUACGAGGGGAGCUAGCGUUGUUCGGAAUUACUGGGCGUAAAGCGCGCGUAGGCGGUUUUUUAAGUCAGAGGUGAAAGCCCGGGGCUCAACCCCGGAAUAGCCUUUGAAACUGGAAAACUAGAAUCUUGGAGAGGUCAGUGGAAUUCCGAGUGUAGAGGUGAAAUUCGUAGAUAUUCGGAAGAACACCAGUGGCGAAGGCGACUGACUGGACAAGUAUUGACGCUGAGGUGCGAAAGCGUGGGGAGCAAACAGGAUUAGAAACCCUUGUAGUCC